GCUGCCUGCCUCUUUGCAACAUCCUCGGUGCCAGCCUUUCCCGCAGGGCCUCAGGAGGAGAGGCCUCCGGGAAGCAUUCACACUUCCGCUUUCACUGAGACCCCCGGCCUGGCCCACGGCCCCUGCGCCCCUCUCUCCGACCUCUCCCCUGGAUGUGCAGGGCGGAGACCUCCUGGGGAAGAAAGGCAGGUGGCGCCCAGAGGCCACGCAGCGUCUCCUCAGACGCCGGCUGUCAUCUGUGCACUCGGUCAGUGGGUCCCUCAUCAGAGUGCCCUGAGAGCAGUGGCAUUCAAUGGGUGGUGGGCUGUCACGUGGUGGCAGCUCUCCAGCUGACGGGAGGGCUUCCCCCGGUGGGGUGGGUAACGGCCUGGGCCAGAAGCACUGCCGCUCCCGGCUGCUCCCGGGCCUUCCUGCCAGGGCCCAGGCUGCUGCUGUGGGAGCCAAGCAGGGGACUCUUCUGUGCAGGAUUCGUAGCUGGCCCAGGCCUCCAACCAGCUUGAGGGCUGGAGGGGAGAGGCAGGACAGGGUGCGGAGAGGCCACAGCCAGCAGCUUGUGGUCGGGGGCUUGGGUGUCUGGCGCCUCCCACCCUGGUUCCUCCCAGGCUUGGCUUGUGUCUGCAGAGAGCUCUGAUCCGUGGUCAGUCCUGUGGUGAGAGGGCACCUUGGACGUCAUUCGGUGCAAUUGGACAAGGAACCGAAGGCCCCAGAUGGAGCUGCAUGCUUGGGUCUGCACAGCCCGUGGGUGGGGCCUUUCUGGAUGCUAGACUCCCUGAAGCCCACAGCACCCAGCUUCCCCUUCACCCACCGCUGGGCCUACUGCCUGCUUUGUGCCCCCAGGGAAGAAGCAGGCCUGGCAAGAGCCCUGCAGUUCUUGGCUCUCACCAAGUGAGGAGUGAAAGAAAACUCCUAGCUUGGCGAGGUGAAGACAGAGACAGAGGAGACAAAGCCUCUCCAAGAACUCAGCAGCCACGUCUGGUAUCUACAGCGAGCCCGUCUGAAAUCCCAGCCAUUUCUUCUGUCCUCAGGAAUGUCAGUGGCAUCUGCAAGGACGCAGACACUUCACGGGAACGUAGGCUUGCAGGCUGUGGAGGCGGGUUCAGAAAACCCGAGGGUACGGAGCCCCAGAGACCCGUGUGGGGUCAGAGUCCAGAGGCCGUGGACGAGCCGGGGCUGUUGAGAAGUGUCUCCAAUGAAUUGGAUUGAGAAGGAAUAGAAUGAUAAGGAGGGAAUGAAUGUGAGCCUGCAGCCCCGGCCUUGUGGCUCAGCACCUGUGACCCAGGCAGCCAGCCUCCCGUGGCAGCACUGUGCACCCCUGGCAGUGGGGGCGGGCAGGUGUCAGAGAAGACCAGCUGGUUUCUGAGAGCUGACAGUGUAAACCUAGCCUGGCCCAGAGCUGCGUGCGAGGCCACUGGGCACCUUGCAAAGCCCUCCUCUGCUCUCGGGGACUGACAGGCACUUUGGGGGACGGUGGGGGUCUCUGUUAGGGGACUUUUGGAAUGCAAUGCUGGUGUGGCUUUAAGGCACCCUGUUCGUAGUAGCUGUGGUAAUAAACACUUGCCCAGGGCCCAGAGUUUGGAAGCAUGGAGGAGGGUUUACCAGCACAGUCUCUGCCUGCUUUUGAAACCUACGUGGCCUUGGGCAAGCUAAUCAGCUUUGGGGGCCUUGGCUUCCCCAGAUGGGGCCACAGCCAUACCUACUCCAAACCAUUGUUGU